rnacentral:misc_RNA from 1 species
CGCAUCCCAUGAGCUUGGCCGGCCGGGUAAUUGAAUGAGAGCAUGUGAAGCCCGGGCCAAGCCGGCGGCCGGCCAGGUCACGUUCGAUUCUUCUUCUUCGAUGCAUAUGCGCACUGCAGUAAAUUAAGAAGGUUGUUGGUUACCAUGCAUGCAUGCAUGGUGCGCUGGCGUUGCAGCGGCAGAAGAAGCAACCGGAGGCAGCAGCAGAAGUUUUCAAAACGGGGGCCGGCCGCUCGCUGUUUCAGUCCCAUUACCUGCAGCCUGCAGUGGGCAGCUCUUCACCGAAGUCGCAUGGCGGGCCACGGUUUGAAGAAAGGGUCGCCCAACUACCGUUCCACGCACCUGCAAGGGCAGAGGAGCACGUCGGGGCUUCGACCACGGCGUCGUGACGACAAGGGAGAAGAUCACGACGCGAGCGAACUUGACGUGGAGCAGCGUACGAAGGAGAAGCGACACUCGACACAGCUUCAGACGUCAGGCGCACAUGGCUCGACCACGCAACAGUUAGUGAUGAUGACGAACUUGGACGAUGGCAACGGCUUUCCAGCGUCGCGAACAGAGGGUGCACAUGAACAGCGAGCUCGGCGAGACUUUCGGCGUCGCGAACGGAGGGCGUACGUCGAGCUGGCAGCAAGUAACAUGCGAUGCAAAAAGGAGAAGCGAGCAGGGGAUAUGGCUCGGUUGAGGUGGGGGAAGAAGACCGUGAUCUUGCAUUUUAUACAGCAGAGAGAGGCGAGGGCGUCGAGAAAAGAGAUCGUUGCUGCCAUUAAUGGCGUGCAAGAGAAGAAAAAGUCUGAUGAUCGUGGAAACAAAUAUUGGAAAGAUAAAAGGAAUUCACGUACAAGGGAAGUAGAUCUAAAGAGGGG